AGAAUCAGGCUUUAGGUUCAGUUUGACACAUUCAGAUGCUGCUUUACAACAUGACACUUGAUAACAGUAACAACAACACGUGCAGAUUGAUUUAAGUAUAAAUUCUGCAGAUGACAGCUCAGUUACAGACUCAUAAUGUGACUUAAUUUGUAACAGUGAAUGAAGAUGUACAAAUCCACUUUAUCAAAUCCACUGGAAGAGAAGGAGACUUACAGCUCAACUGAAGGCUUUGGGGGAAAAAGUUCCAAUCGAAGCUACAAUCACAGAAGAAAUUUCAAGCAUUCUGUUGCAGUACUGAGCCACCACAUACAAAAACAACCGACACACGCUGUGAUGAAGUGAAGGAAUCGACUGUCACGCGACAAACCUAAUAAGGGAUGUUUGGACCAUUACACCACAACAGAAGCAUGUGGACAGACAUUGACUGUAAUGAUGGACAUCUGCAGAUGCACAGUUAAUGCUUAUGUCUGUGUUUGUAUUCCAGUUUCAUGCAGUCUAUAAACCGCAUUUGAGAGAAUGAGUUCAGGGUCUGGCUAAAUAUUAACAUUUUUGUGUUAAGGUAAAACAUAAGGCUUAUGUAUUGCUGUCAGAUCUCGUUUAUUGAAAAAUCUGUUUACUUGAUGCAAAACUAAUUUGAGUAAAUCAAAUGAAAAAUUCUUAGAUGUGUAUUUGCAAAGCAAGGUAAAUUUGGAAAGUCAAAAUUCUUCAACAAAUCUUCAAAAAGCAAAUCUUCUUGUGUAUUUAAGUAUAUGUAUGUGUGUGUGUGUGUGUGUGUGAAAAUGACACAUGCCAUGGUUCUUAUUUGUCGUUGCUGAUAAAUGAGAUAAAUUAGAAUCCAGUUAAAGAAAUUACUGCUCACCACUGUUUAUUCCCUUUGUUAGUAAGGAAAAAUAAGCUCAAGGAACAGAUGAAUGUGUGUUAGAGAGUGGUACUAGUAAAUACUUAAGGGACGGUUUUUUAGAUACUUUUAAAUUCUGCUAUUCAUUCAUUCAUUCAUUCAUUCAUAUGUACAUUUGGUUUUUCCUUAAAUUGACAUUUAUUAAUUUUAUGAUGCUUUUGGAUCCUAAUUUUGUUUUUAAUUAUUUUUCUUCCCCAAAAUGCAUGCAUUUUCCUUUCCCUAAAUUGACAUUAAUGAAUUUUAAAAUUUUAAGAUUUUAAAUUCUGAUUCUUUUUUCAAUGCGUUUUAUUUUACUUUAUUAUUUUUUAAAAUGUGUGCAUUUGCUUUUUCCUCAAAUACAAAAGAACAUUUGGUAGUGUGAAGCGCUGAUGGUCUAGUGGUCAAGGCAUGGAAGCUGAACCUGCCUCUGCCGCCACGCCCUUUUGUUUGGUGUACCACCCCAGGUACUUCACUGUUGCCACAGUUUUCUUUCUUUGGUGUGUUUCGAACCCAAGCCUCUACCUCAACCAACAUGUGUUUAGCCACUAGUGUGAUCAUGGCUUUCUCGCUGAGAGUUGUCAUUUGGGGCGUUUUGUUGGAUUUAAUGACAGUAAUUUAACAUAAGCAAUAGUGGGAUUUGAACUCAGGUUUCCAAGAUUAAAGUGCAACGCUUUAACAACUGAGCCACCAAGCCAGUGGAAUUGAAAGAUGUUUUGGGUGGAGUUUUAUUGAGUGCUUUGUAUUACAUGACGAAAAACUAGGCAGUUGUGGGUUUUGAACCCACAUCUCAGUCGCAGCCUUAGCUCGAAUAACGUGUUUAACCACUGCGGUUUUCACCAUGGACUUGUCCAUUUAGAGAGCUUCAUUUAAUUUAAUGACAACAAUUUAAAAUAAGUAAGUGGGGAACUUGAACUCAGGUCUCCCAGAUGAAAAUGCAACAAUGUAUCACUUGAGCCACUGCGUCUGUGGCUUUCAGGGGUGCUUUGGGUGGAGUUUAUUGAGUGUUUUGUAAUAUAUGAAGAAAAAUUUUACUUUAGUGGGACUUGAACUCGUCACAGUCACAGCCUUAUCUUCAAUGGCAUGUGUUUAACCACUGCGGCUUUCACUAAAGUUGCGCCCAUGUAGACAACUUCAUUUGGUUUAAUGACAAUUGAAAAUAAGCAAUUGCAAGAUUUGAACUCGGGUCUCUUACAUAAAAACACAAUGCUCUACCACCUGAGCAACUGAGUCUGAUUUAUUAAUUCGGUGUUCGGAUGGGUUUUGUUUAGAGCCCUGUUUUAUAUGGGGAAAUUAUUAGGAAUUAUGGGAUUUAAACCAAGAUUUUAUAUACAACAGGCAAGCAAUGAGCCAAUUUGUGAUGUUGGCUUUGGUUUUAUUUAAGGAUUAUUUACAGUUUCAGCCCAGUUACCAAUUAAAAAAAAAAAAAAGUGGGAUUUGAACUCAGGGCUCCAUGAUUAAAACACAAAGCUCUAUUAACUGAGCCACUGAGUCUAUCAGUUUGCAUGAGUGUUUUGGACAGGGUUUGUUAAGAGAGAUGUUUUAUAUGAUGACAAAGAAUAGAAAUUAGGAUUGCUAAUUAGAAUUUGAAACAAGAUUUUACAUAGGCAAGCAAUUAGCCAAUUUGUGAUGUUGGCUUUAGUUUUUAAGGUUUAUUUACUCAUUUACCUGAGUUAAAGCAUUAAAUUAAUUGCAAAAUCAAGAGUGGGAUUAGAACUCAGGACUUAACAAAACCUGUCCAAAACACACAAGCAAUUUGUCAAAUUCUGUGGCUCAGGUGACAGAGCGCUGUGUUUUAAUCUUGGAGUCCUGAGUUCAAAUCCCGCUCUCACUUUUGUAAUUAAGCGCUUUAACUAAGCUAUAUAAAAAAAAAAAAAAGUUAAGCCUAAAAACUAUAGUUUACAUCACAAAUUUGCUAAUUGGUUCUCGCUUUUGCAAUUAAUUUAAUGCUUUAACUCAGGUAAAACAGUAAAUAACCCUAAAACACUAAAGCCAACAUCACAAAUUGGCUAAUUGCUUGCCUACUGUAUGUAAAAUCUUGGUUCAAAUCCUAUAAUUGCUAAUGUUUAUCAUCAUAUGAAACUGCUCUCUUAACAAAACAAUUUGUCAGACUCAGUGGCUCAGGUGAGAUGAAUUCACAGCC